rnacentral:tRNA from 1 species
GGGCCAUUAGCUCAAUGGUAGAGCAACUGACUCUUAAUCAGCAGGUUGUAGGUUCGAGUCCUACAUGGCUCACCA